rnacentral:rRNA from 1 species
CAGCCGCCGCGGGAAUACGUAGGGCGCAAGCGUUAUCCGGAAUUAUUGGGCGUAAAGAGCUCGUAGGCGGUUUGUCGCGUCUGCCGUGAAAGUCCGGGGCUCAACCCCGGAUCUGCGGUGGGUACGGGCAGACUAGAGUGAUGUAGGGGAGACUGGAAUUCCUGGUGUAGCGGUGAAAUGCGCAGAUAUCAGGAGGAACACCGAUGGCGAAGGCAGGUCUCUGGGCAUUAACUGACGCUGAGGAGCGAAAGCAUGGGGAGCGAACAGGAUUAGAUACCCCGGUAGUCCCUGUCUCUUAUAC